rnacentral:rRNA from 1 species
AAAAGAAACUAAAUAGGAUUUCCAUAGUAACUGCGAGUGAACUGGAAUUAGCCCAUCACGAAAUCUAUAUUAUAAUAAUAAUAUCGAAAUGUCGUGUAUAGGUUUUAUUAUUAUUAAUAAAUUAUUAUUAAAUAAUUGUAUUUAAAUAUACAGCCACAGAAGGUGCCAGCCCUGUUAUUUAAUAAUAUUUAUUAAAUUUAUAAAACUUUAGAGUCGUGUUGCUUGGAAGUGCAGCACAAAGUUGGUGAUAAACAUCAUCUAAGGCUAAAUAUUCCUAUGAAUCCGAUAGCGAACAAGUACUGUGAAGGAAAAUUGCAAAGUACUCCGGAGAGAGAGUUAAAGAGGACGUGAAACCGAUACGAUGGAAGCAUACAGAGCCAGUUGCACUAUUAUUAAUAUUUUUUUAUUAAUAAUUUUAAGCAUGGGUAUAUUGAUUAUUAAUUAGUUAUUUAUUAAAGAGUGAUAAAAUUUUUUUAAAUUUUGUUAACUUUAAUAAAAUAAUUAUAUUUAUAAUUAAUAUUUAUUAUUAUUAAUGUAUUAAUAAUAUUUUAAUUAUUAAUAUAAUAUAAGACACAUGUGUUAAAUAUUAUUUAUUGGUAAUUAUUAUAUUAUUAUAAAUUAAUAAACCUAUGUAAUCCUGGUAUGCUGUAUGUCCCGUCUUGAAACACGGACCAAGGAGUGUAUUGCUAUGGCAAGUCAUUGAUAUUAUUAAUAUCAAAGGCAUAAUGAAAAUAA